GACGAACGCUGGCGGCGUGCUUAACACAUGCAAGUCGAACGAAGUGGCGAACGGGUGAGUAACGCGUAAUCAACCUGCCCUUCAGAGGGGGACACCAGUUGGAAACGACUGCUAAUACCGCAUACUGAAGGAGGGGAUUGCGUGUGAUUAGCUAGUUGGGGGGGUAACGGCCCACCAAGGCGAUGGUCAGUAGCCGGGCUGAGAUGAUGAACGGCCACAUCGGGACUGGGACACGGGCCAGACCCCUAAGGGAGGCAGCAGUUGGGAAUCAUCCGCAAUUGGCGAAAGUCUGACGGAGCAACGCCGGCGGAGUGAUGACGGGCUUCGGGUUGGAAAGCUCUGUUAAGCGGGACGCGGUACCGGAAUAGAAAGCAACGGCUAACUACGUGCCAGCAGCCGCGGUAAUUC
rnacentral:rRNA from 1 species